CUUGAACUCCUGGGCUCAAGCAAUCCGCCUGCCCCAGCCUCCCGAAGUGUUGGGAUUACAAGCGUGAGCCAUUGCACCAGGACCCAGGACUUUGAAUCUGGAACAAAUGAGAAAAUAAACAAGAGAAAGUUAGAAUCCGAAUGCAGUGGUAGCAGUGGUAAUAUCUAGCAGAAACAGCAGUGUCCUGGCAAGACUAUUACAACUAAAACACUGUAGCUAUAUAUUCAAUU
rnacentral:lncRNA from 1 species